UACAGAGGGUGCAAGCGUUGUCCGGAAUCACUGGGCGUAAAGGGCGCGUAGGCGGGCUGUCAAGUCUGGGGUGAAAUGCCGCGGCUCAACCGUGGAACUGCCUUAGAUACUGACGGCCUCGAGGGAGGUAGGGGCGUGCGGAACUGUAGGUGGAGCGGUGAAAUGCGUUGAUAUCUACAGGAACUCCGGUGGCGAAAGCGGCGCGCUGGACCUCUUCUGACGCUGAGGCGCGAAAGCUAGGGGAGCAAACGGG
rnacentral:rRNA from 1 species